GUGGGGAAUAUUGGACAAUGGGCGAAAGCCUGAUCCAGCCAUGCCGCGUGUGUGAAGAAGGUCUUCGGAUUGUAAAGCACUUUAAGUUGGGAGGAAGGGCAGUAAGUUAAUACCUUGCUGUUUUGACGUUACCGACAGAAUAAGCACCGGCUAACUUCGUGCCAGCAGCCGCGGUAAUACGAAGGGUGCAAGCGUUAAUCGGAAUUACUGGGCGUAAAGCGCGCGUAGGUGGUUUUGUAAGUUGGAGGUGAAAUCCCCGGGCUCAACCUGGGAACUGCCUCCAAAACUGCAUGACUAGAGUACGGUAGAGGGUAGUGGAAUUUCCUGUGUAGCAGUGAAAUGCGUAGAUAUAGGAAGGAACACCAGUGGCGAAGGCGACUACCUGGACUGAUACUGACACUGAGGUGCGAAAGCGUGGGGAGCAAACAGGAUUAGAUACCCGGGUAGUCC
rnacentral:rRNA from 1 species